UUUCCGUAGGUGAACCUGCGGAAGGAUCAUUAUCGAGUUUUGACUGGGUUGUAGCUGGCCUUCCGAGGCAUGUGCACGCCCUGCUCAUCCACUCUACACCUGUGCACUUACUGUGGGUAUCAGGUCGUGAAGCGUGCUCUUUUACCGGAGCUUGUGAAGCGUGUCUGUGCCUGCGUUUAUCACAAACACUAUAAAGUAUCAGAAUGUGUAUUACGAUGUAACGCAUCAAUACAACUUUCAACAACGGAUCUCUUGGCUCUC
rnacentral:misc_RNA from 1 species